rnacentral:rRNA from 1 species
UACGUAGGGUGCGAGCGUUAAUCGGAAUUACUGGGCGUAAAGCGUGCGCAGGCGGUUUUGUAAGCCAGAUGUGAAAUCCCCGGGCUUAACCUGGGAAUGGCAUUUGGGACUGCAAGGCUCGAGUGCGGCAGAGGAGACUGGAAUUCCUGGUGUAGCAGUGAAAUGCGUAGAUAUCAGGAGGAACACCGGUGGCGAAGGCGGGUCUCUGGGCCGAUUCUGACACUGAGGAGCGAAAGCGUGGGGAGCGAACAGG